CAUCCCCUGCCGUGUUCGACAGUCGCUGAGAUCUCCUUGAGCCUAAUUUCCAUCUCAGGGGACUCAAGCUGGUGCCAUGUGCAUGCCCGCCAUGAGCGGGAAGCCUGAGGCAUCACUGCCGUCCCCCUCUUGAACCGCUGGUUCAAGGGCAACAGCGACACCGACACAUGCGGAGGAUGC
rnacentral:other from 1 species